rnacentral:lncRNA from 1 species
UUUUGGGGAAAUUUUGGGGGAUUUUGGGGGGGCCCCGGGGACUCUGGGGGGGUUUGAGGGGGGUCAGGGGGUGGGGGGGGCUCUGGACCCCCCAUUUUGGGGAGAAAUUUGGGGGUUGGGGUCCCCAAUUUUGGGGUGAAUUUGGGGGAAUUUGGGGUCCCCCAUUUUGGGGUAAAUUUGGAUUUUGGGGUCCCCAGAUUUGGGGUGAAUUUGGGGGGAUUUGGGGAAAAUUUGGGGGAAUUUGGGGUGAAUUUUGGGGGAUUUGGGGAAAAUUUGGGGGAUUUUGGGGUCCCCCAUUUUGGGGUAAAUUUGGGGUUUGGGGUCCCCAGUUUUGGGGUGAAUUUGGGGGAAUUUGGGUUUUUUGGGGUCCCCUUUUUUGGGGUAAAUCUGGGAGGUUUUGGGGUUCCUCCUUUUGGGGUAAAUUUGGGGGGAUUUGGGGUCCCCAUUUUUGGGGUAAAUUUGGGAGAUCUGGGAGGUUUUGGGGUUCCUCCUUUUGGGGUAAAUCUGGGAAGUUUUGGGGUUUUUGGGGUCCCCUUUUUUGGGGUAAAUUUGGGGGGAUUUGGGGUCCCCCUUUUUGGGGUAAAUUUGGAUUUUGGGGUCCCCAUUUUUGGGGUAAAUUUGGGGGGAUUUGGGGGUUUUGGGGUCCCCCUUUUUGGCGUAAAUCUGGGGAGUUUUGGGGUCCCUCCUUUUGGGGUGAAUUUUGGGGGUCCCAGGAACCGGGGGGGUCCAACCCCCCCCAUUUUGGGUCCAUCCCGUGGCCGGGGGGAUCCCCAAAUUUUAGGGGAUCCCCAAAUUUUGGGGAGUCCCCAAAUUUUGGGGUUCU